UUGGAGGGCAAGUCUGGUGCCAGCAGCCGCGGUAAUUCCAGCUCCAAUAGCGUAUAUUAAAGUUGUUGCAGUUAAAAAGCUCGUAGUUGAAUUUCGGGGUCAGUAGGUUGGUCGUGCCACCGGUACGUACUGGUCUCACUGAUUCCUCCUUCCUGAUGAGCUGUAAUGCCAUUAAUUUGGUGUUGCAGGGAAUCUGGACUGUUACUUUGAAAAAAUUAGAGUGUUUAAAGCAGGCUAACGCUUGAAUACAUUAGCAUGGAAUAAUGAAAUAGGACGUUCGAUCCUAUUUUGUUGGUUUCUAGGAUUGACGUAAUGAUUAAUAGGGAUAGUUGGGGGCAUUAGUAUUCAAUUGUCAGAGGUGAAAUUCUUGGAUUUAUUGAAGAUUAACUACUGCGAAAGCAUUUGCCAAGGAUGUUUUCAUUAAUCAAGAACGAAAGUUAGGGGAUCGAAGACGAUCAGAUACCGUCGUAGUCUUAACCAUAAACUAUGCCGACUAGGGAUCGGAUGAUGUUAAUUUUUUAAUGACUCAUUCGGCGCCUUACGGGAAAC
rnacentral:rRNA from 1 species